rnacentral:lncRNA from 1 species
UGCAAAUUUGACUUUAAGUGGAAGUUAGAAUUGACCCCUUAUGAGUGGAUUUGUAACGUCCCCCUUUUCCUCUAUCAGAGCUGUAUCUUGCAGAUAGAUCUCUGUAAGCCAGAGGGAGGGUGGCUGGGCUUUGCUCUGAUUGGAGGAUGCAAUGGGAGCGUGCUCAGAGUGAAGAAGAUCUGCACUGGAGGCGUGGCCCACCAAGACGGGCGGCUCAGAGUGGGAGACAUACUGCUCGAGGUGAAUGGGAUAAUAGUAUCAGGUCUGAGCCACAGUAAGGUGGUGGAUAUCCUCCGUAAGGUAAAGGGAAACGUCCAGCUCAACAUCUGUAGAGACAUCAUACAACGGGCCAAUACAGCACCCUGCACUGAUGGUUUCUUCUAUAUGGCCUCUUGCCCUAGAGACAACAUGGCCGCCUGCCCUGGGUCAAAUACGGCCUCCUGUCCUGGAUCAGGAUCCAAUAUGGCCUCUUGUCUUGGAUCAAAUAUGGCCCCUUGUACUGGAUCCAAUAUGGCCUCCUGUCCUGGAUCAAAUAUUUCCCCUUGUCCAGGGUCAAAUAUGAUGACCUGCCAAGGAGUCAACAUGGGGGAUAAAGCAGAGCUUGUCUCUAAACCUGCUGCCUGCUCCUUACCUGAUGUCCAGCAGGAGGACCUUCCCCCUGGUGAGAUAUAAGAGGGCCAGUUAAUCCCAAAUUAAUGUUUGUUGGGGGGGUUUCAUACUUAAAAAGUUGUAUUUUUAGCUAUUUUUAGCUAAGUAU